rnacentral:rRNA from 1 species
GACGAACGCUGGCGGCGUGCUUAACACAUGCAAGUCGAACGGUGAAGCGCCUUUCUUUUUGGUGGGUGUGGAUGAGUGGCGAAGGGGUGAGUAACACGUGAGUAACCUGCCUCCUGCUUCUGGAUAACCGCAUGAAAGUGUGGCUAAUACGGGAUAUUCUGGGUCUGUCGCAUGAUGGGUCUGGGAAAGAUAUUGUUUCGGUGGGGGAUGGGCUCGCGGUCUAUCAGCUUGUUGGUGGGGUGAUGGCCUACCAGGGCGGUGAUGGGUAGCCGGCCUGAGAGGGUGGACGGCCGCGCGGGGAGACAGACACGGUCAGGACUCCUAAGGGACGAAGCAGCUAGGGAUAGUACACGAUGGGCGCAAGGCUGAUGCAGCGCCGCCGCGUGGGGGAUGGAGGCCGUCGGGUUGUGAACCUCUUUGGGCAGUAAAGCAUGUCGGCCUCGUUUGUGGGUGGGUUGACGGUAGCUAGAGAAGAAGCGCCGGCUAACUACGUG